CGAUAUUAAAAAAAAUUAGAGCUGCAACCGAUUAAUCGAUUAGGUGCUUGAAGUGAAUUCAAAAAUUCACUUUCAUUAAUCGACUUGAAUUAAUUGAAGAGAAAUAUUCUAUCGCAGUUUUCCUGAAUUGAAGCUUCUUUGUGCGUCACAAUAAGCGUCCGUGUGAAACACAACAGUGGAACCAAUGUUUAACAGCAGAGAAAUGAAGGAAACAAAGCUUUGAUUCAGGAGAAUUGUGGUUGAAGGAUUUUUUUGGCUCACUUGAGUCGAUUCAUCG